AAGCUGGAUUUAUCUGAUAAGAAAACAAAAAUCAAACUAAACGGAAGUUAAAUGAAAUGAAGAAAAAAUUAUAAAGCAAAAAGAAGAAGAGGAGGUCCUGAAUUGCCAAACUUGCAUGAGCAACCAAGGUAGCAUCUGUGUCACCAACCUCUGUUCUUUCAGAGUUUGUCUAAACAGAAAUUUCUGAACCAAGACUAGCAAGUACAUUGCCAACACCAAUUUUCAACAGUGAAGGCUGCCCAGUUUUCAGCAAAUUUGAUUUUGGAGAACUAUUUAAUCCCUCACCCAUUCUGAAAAAGACCACUUUAGAUCCAUAAUUGGCAACGAUUAAAAUGAAAAAAAAAAUACUUAAACAAAAAGUGAAAAUCUUGGUAGGCCAAACUGAAGGUGAGAAUCCAGAAGCAUGGAAGAAAAACAGGCUUGCAAUGGUGCUCUACACAUAGCUGAAGGUUUUCAGGUAGAAGACUGUGUGGAAUUCCUUGGCAAAUAAAUAAAGAAACGAGGUAAAAUCAAAUCAGAAAAUAAAAUAAAUUGGGCUGAUCGCAACGAAGAAAAGGAAAAGAGAAAGGAAUGACAACAGAAAAAGAGAAAGGAAUGACAACAGAAAAAGAGAAAAGCCAACAUUAAGAAAAAGAAACUGAAAAAAAAGAACAUACAGUGAUUAAACCAAAUCAAAAAAAGGAAAAUUUAUCGUAUGAAAUAAUGAUACCGACUCAUAGAUGAGCUAAACUCGUGUUCUUUCAUGUGCAAGCCAUGGCGCGACAGUCUUUUAGAAAAAUACACUGGCAUGCCUUUCA